rnacentral:lncRNA from 12 species
CAGGUGAGACGCGGCCCUCCUUCGCCCGGGGGGUCCCCCCUGUACAUCUGGCACCCACCUCACAGGUGAACCUUCCCGCUCCUCGAUGAUGACGGGGAAAUGUGUGUCUGGAUCAUCUCGUGGCCCGAAUGGGGAGAAAAGGUACUUUUCAUGAAUAUAUAUAGAUGCUGAAUUUAUAAGGAUCAAUAUAGUCGCCAAAUGUUGUACAACAUGUCAGGAUAUCAUAAAAAGCAGGCAGUUCUACAUAAAAUACCAGCUUAAUCUUGGA